rnacentral:lncRNA from 1 species
CUAAUGUAAUGGUCCUAAGUCCUAACUUAUGAGUGUUUAUAGGCCUGAACCUGUACCUUCUGAAAAUGCCAAACAAAAUUCUACAAGAAACCGAUACAGAGUAACGUAAGAAGAAAUGGCGAGCAUAUCAGGGGAAGUAGCCUUAUGUUGCCAGCGAUCCUAAUAGGUACAAGUGUUAUGUUUACUUCGUAUUUAUAAUAAUAAUAGGCUUAUGAUUUAUGCAUCAUGUUUACUUCGUAUUUACUUCAUAUUUAUUGUAGAGGGGUUAGUAGUUGUUUAAAGCUCCAAAGUAUUUCAAAUUAUUUUUGGGUCAUGUUUACUUCGUAUUUAUUUCAGGAUGGUGGUACUUCUGCUUUAAACUUUGUCCUUUGAGAGACUUAAGCAUGAAACAAGGGUCAAAGUGCUUAAUCCAGAGAGCAUGAAACCUUUACUGAAAAUUCUCGUUUGUAGAAGAAGAAUAGUGUUUUUGUUUUUUGAGAUUUUAUGGUGUAAUUGGAUUUAAUGCAACUUUUGUUAUGUAUUUUGUUUUUAGAACGUCAUAUAAGACUAUUUUUAAUUUUUGAGAUUUUAUGGUGUAAUUGAAUUUAUAAUAAAGGAUGAAUUAUAA